rnacentral:rRNA from 1 species
GACGAACGCUGGCGGCGUGCUUAACACAUGCAAGUCGAACGGAAAGGCCCUGCUUUUGUGGGGUGCUCGAGUGGCGAACGGGUGAGUAACACGUGAGUAACCUGCCCUUGACUUUGGGAUAACUUCAGGAAACUGGGGCUAAUACCGGAUAGGAGCUCCUGCUGCAUGGUGGGGGUUGGAAAGUUUCGGCGGUUGGGGAUGGACUCGCGGCUUAUCAGCUUGUUGGUGGGGUAGUGGCUUACCAAGGCUUUGACGGGUAGCCGGCCUGAGAGGGUGACCGGCCACAUUGGGACUGAGAUACGGCCCAGACUCCUACGGGAGGCAGCAGUGGGGAAUAUUGCACAAUGGGCGGAAGCCUGAUGCAGCAACGCCGCGUGCGGGAUGACGGCCUUCGGGUUGUAAACCGCUUUCGCCUGUGACGAAGCGUGAGUGACGGUAAUGGGUAAAGAAGCACCGGCUAACUACGUGCCAGCAGCCGCGGUGAUACGUAGGGUGCGAGCGUUGUCCGGAUUUAUUGGGCGUAAAGGGCUCGUAGGUGGUUGAUCGCGUCGGAAGUGUAAUCUUGGGGCUUAACCCUGAGCGUGCUUUCGAUACGGGUUGACUUGAGGAAGGUAGGGGAGAAUGGAAUACCUGGUGGAGCGGUGGAAUGCGCAGAUAUCAGGAGGAACACCAGUGGCGAAGGCGGUUCUCUGGGCCUUUCCUGACGCUGAGGAGCGAAAGCGUGGGGAGCGAACAGGCUUAGAUACCCUGGUAGUCCACGCUGUAAACGGUGGGUACUAGGUGUGGGGUCCAUUCCACGGGUUCCGUGCCGUAGCUAACGCUUUAAGUACCCCGCCUGGGGAGUACGGCCGCAAGGCUAAAACUCAAAGGAAUUGACGGGGCCCCGCACAAGCGGCGGAGCAUGCGGAUUAAUUCGAUGCAACGCGUAGAACCUUACCUGGGUUUGACAUGGAUCGGGAGUGCUCAGAGAUGGGUGUGCCUCUUUUGGGGUCGGUUCACAGGUGGUGCAUGCCUGUCGUCAGCUCGUGUCGUGAGAUGUUGGGUUAAGUCCCGCAACGAGCGCAACCCUUGUUCACUGUUGCCAGCACGUUAUGGUGGGGACUCAGUGGAGACCGCCGGGGUCAACUCGGAGGAAGGUGGGGAUGACGUCAAGUCAUCAUGCCCCUUAUGUCCAGGGCUUCACGCAUGCUACAAUGGCUGGUACAGAGAGUGGCGAGCCUGUGAGGGUGAGCGAAUCUCGGAAAGCCGGUCUCAGUUCGGAUUGGGGUCUGCAACUCGACCUCAUGAAGUCGGAGUCGCUAGUAAUCGCAGAUCAGCAACGCUGCGGUGAAUAAGUUCCCGGGGCU